AGAGGAAGUAAAAGUCGUAACAAGGUUUCCGUAGGUGAACCUGCGGAAGGAUCAUUAUUGAAAUAAACCUGAUGGGUUGUUGCUGGCUCUCUUGGGGGCAUGUGCACACCUUGUCAUCUUUAUAUCUCCACCUGUGCACUUUUUGUAGACCUUUCAGGUCUAUGUUGCUUCAUUUACCCCAAUGUAUGUUAAUAGAAUGUUGUGACUAUAUAAUAUAUACAACUUUCAGCAACGGAUCUCUUGGCUCUCGCAUCGAUGAAGAACGCAGCGAAAUGCGAUAAGUAAUGUGAAUUGCAGAAUUCAGUGAAUCAUCGAAUCUUUGAACGCACCUUGCGCUCCUUGGUAUUCCGAGGAGCAUGCCUGUUUGAGUGUCAUUAAUAUAUAUAUCAACCCUCUCUUUGUUGAGUGGUUUGGAUGUGGGGGUUUGCUGGCCUCUUAAAUGGUUCAGCUCCUCUGAAAUGCAUUAGCAGAACAACCCUGUUCAUUGGUGUGAUAACUAUCUACGCUAUUGAAUGUGAAGGGAAGUUCAGCUUUCUAACUGUCUUUGGACAAUUCAUCAUUAAUGUGACCUCAAAUCAGGUAGGACUACCCGCUGAACUUAAGCAUAUCA
rnacentral:rRNA from 1 species